CUUAAGUCCCAGUGAUUCCUCUUCAUCAGGGUCGCCCCUGGCAACACGUGGUGGGCGGGAGCCGGACCUCCUCUGCCUGGGGUGCCAGCAGGGCCAGGCCCAGGCCAGGUCCCCUCGGUUCCCGACGUGACUCCACACCCUGGCUGGGUGUUCCAAGUCAUGGCCGACACCAUCUUCGGCAGCGGGAAUUAUCAGUGGGUUUGCCCCAGUGAUCGGCAGCUUGCCCUGCGAGCCAAGCUGCAGACGGGCUGGUCUGUGCACACCUACCAGACAGAGAAGCAGAGGAAGAGCCAGUGCCUCAGCCCAGCCGAGGUGGAGGCCAUCCUGCAGGUCAUCCAGAGGGCCGAGCGGCUUGACGUCCUGGAACAGCAGAGAGUCGGGCGGCUGGUGGAGCGGCUGGAGACCAUGAGGCGCAAUGUGAUGGGGAACGGCCUCUCCCAGUGUCUGCUCUGUGGGGAGGUGCUGGGCUUCCUGGGCAGCUCAUCGGUGUUCUGCAAAGACUGCAGGAAGAAAGUCUGCACCAAAUGCGGGAUCGAGGCCUCCCCCGGCCAGAAGCGGCCCCUGUGGCUGUGUAAGAUCUGCAGUGAGCAGAGAGAGGUCUGGAAGAGGUCGGGGGCCUGGUUCUACAGAGGGAUCCCCAAGUACAUCCUGCCCCUGAAGACCCCCGGCCAGGCCGAUCGCCCCCACUUCCGACCAUUGCCCACAGAGCCAGCAGAGCAAGAGCCCAGAAGUACUGAGAGCAGCCGCGUCUACACGUGGGCCCGAGAGAGAGUGGUUUCCAGCGACAGUGACAGUGACUCAGAGCUCAGCUCCUCCAGCCUGGAGGACAGACUCCCACCCACUGGGGUCAGGGACCGGAAAAGCGACAGACCCUGGGGGGAAUCAGGUGGCAGCGUGGAGUCAUCAAAGAUGGGGCCUCCCCGCCCACGCAGCCACCUCUCAGGGAGCCAGAGCAGCCUGGCCAUCGAGACGGGACCGGCUCUGCGGACCCACAGUGGGGGCCCCACCCAGGCCGGACCCAAAAGGCCACAGCAGCUACUACAGGAUGUGCUCCAGCCAAACAAGGGAGAAAACCAGGACACAGGAACACAGGAAACUGAGGAUCCAACAGAGGAGAGGGGCAAAGACAGUCCCCAGGAUGUUGGCAGUGGCUGUGUGUGUGGGCUAGAGGCCAAGGCCAGCCAGCCCAGAUUGGAGCAUGAGGGCAGGAGAGAUACCCAAGGAUGUACAAACAGGAUAAGAAGCAUACCUGUGUUGGAGAGAUUGAAUAUGAUAUCAUGAUAUUCUAUAUCAUGACAUAUAAUAUAUAAAACUGAAAAAUCAAGAAGUAGAAUCAGCAUGAGAUUUCAGUACAAAGGAUUGUUGUGGAAAUUAAAAACUCGAAAGCACCUGUAAAACUCCUACCACUGCUAUUAGUCAUGACUCCCAUAGGAUUCAGACGUGGCCCUUGCCUCAAGAGUUGUUUAGAUGACGUAAGUAGACGGAUUCUUGACCACUGCACCACCAGGGAAGUGCAGGAGAACAACUUUGAAGACCCAUGGAUCUAGUGGAACCAGUUUACCUGUGUCUCCCUGGACUGACACCCCUAGACCGACCCAGGCAGGGGAGCGGCGGGCGGGUGAUGAGGACCGGGCUGGCGGAGAAAACACAGCGCCCCACUGGACGAGGAGACAAGCCUGGGACCGAGUGCUGCUGCCACACGCCACCCCUGGACAGAGGCCCCGCCCCCGGCUGUUCCUUAGCCCUGAAGCAAAGAGCGUCCACAGGCCCAGCAGGUGAGAGUCACUUCCACCCACAAAGAAGGGGGCUGGCACCUUUCCCGAAGGAGAAAACGCCCACUUUCUGGCAUCACAUCCCUAGGUUCCCAGAAGCCUGAAAUCUCUAUCUCUUCCUGUUCCUGCCUUUCCGGUGAACUGUCUCUGACGUGUUCUCCCCGAGUGCCGAGCCGGGGAGCAGCAGGCAGUGGAGAGGAGAGCUGCCCGGCUGGAGGCCCAUCAAGGACCCCAGGCGGUGCCCUCCCUCGCUUCCCUCACAGCUCCCGCCUCCUCACGCCACUUUGUUUGCUGACAACAAACAGAGCCCUCAAUUCCACUGAGCCAGGGCCCGGGAGAGAUGAAGCAUUUUGCUGUGUAAUAAUCGUCACGGCCAACAUCUGUUGAGUCAGGCACCUGCUGCAUGCUUUAGGGCUCCUCACCCACCUGUGCAGCAGAUACUUCUAAUGUGCCCAUUUUACAGAAGAGGAAACUGAGGCCCAGGGAGGUCAAGAGUGCCUGUAUUUGAAUGCAGAGCAGUCAGAUGCCAAAGACCAUGCUGGGUUGAGCAGGGGGGGCGGUCUGGUGAGAACAAAUCAGGAUUCAGUGCGGCGAUGGAGGUAUGUGCAGGCAGAGAAAGACACAGAUCAUAAUGUCUAGAUGAGUAGGAUAAAGUCAGCCCCUUGUCCCACUGGGUAUUUUCCUUCUGCCAAUUAACACAUGAGAAUAAAGUUCAGUCGCUACACAGAGAUUUUGCCCCCAUGUUGGACGCUGUCUCAUGCCCAGGAGGCUGAGCACACGCCAUGCUCUCCUGAGUCCUCCCUUAUCGGGAGACCCAGGGUAGCCUCAGGGAAGCAGUUGUCUUUUCAGGCCUGUAUGAGCAGGAGGAUUUGCCUUAGAGGGUUUCCAGGAGCUUCCAUCAAUCAAAGAGCCUCUCAGCACCUUUGGAGCCAGAGCCUGUCUCUGGACUGACCCGCAGCUCCUCCCAGGGCUGUGGGAGCCGCACCUGAACAUGACCCCUGAACUCCAGGACUGGGAGCUGCAAUCCCACAGCCCCCAACCCAUCUCAGCUGUCAAACCUCCACAACUGUCUUGUCUUCCCACGCCACCUGCCCCUCUUUCCUUUAUUCUCUUUAUUUUUUUUAUUGGGGUAAAAUACACGUAACAUACGUUUUAACCAUUUUUAAGUGUACGGCUCAGUGACAUUAAAUCCAUUCACUUUGUCGUGCAGCCAUGACCACCAUCAUCCCCAGAGCAUUCUCAUCGUCCCGGAGUGAACCCUGUGCCCGUUAAACACUAACUCCCCAUUCCUCCCUCCCCACCCCCAGGCACGCCCGCUCUA